GCCGACUUAGCUCAGUUGGGAGAGCGUUAGACUGAAGAUCUAAAGGUCCCUGGUUCAAAUCCGGAGAACUCGCA
rnacentral:tRNA from 2 species